AAGCUCGUAGUUGAAUUUCGGGAUUGACGUGACGGUCGUGCCUUACGGGGUAUGAACUGUCGCCGUUGAUUUCUCACCUUCUGGAGAAGCUCGAUGUCCUUAAUUGGGUGUCUUGCGGAACCAGGACCUUUACCUUGAAAAAAUUAGAGUGUUUAAAGCAGGCAUUAUUGCUCGAAUACAUUAGCAUGGAAUAAUAGAAUAGGACGGUCAUGGUUCUAUUUUGUUGGUUUCUAGGAUCACCGUAAUGAUUAAUAGGGAUAGUUGGG
rnacentral:rRNA from 1 species